GAUGAACGCUGGCGGCGUGCCUAAUACAUGCAAGUCGAGCGAAAGGACGCGACGCUUGCUUUUCUGUUGUUAGGCGCGGACGGGUGAGUAACACGUGGAUACCCUACCUAUCAUUCUGGGAUAACUUCGAGAAACCGGCUCUAACCCCAGAUAAUCUUUUGAUCCGUAUGGUUCAAAAGUGAAAGACGGUCUUGCUGUCACUUAUCGAUGGAUCCGCGCUGCAUUAGCUAGUUGGUACGGUCACGGCUUACCAAGGCAACGAUGCGUAGCCGACGUGUGAGGGGGGUAGGCCACACGGGAACUGAGCCGAGGUCCAGACGCCUAAGGUAGGGAGCAGUAGGGAAUCUGCCGCAGUGGGCGGAAGCCUGACGGAGCGACGCCGCGGGAGUGGUGAAGGUGUUCGGUGCGUAAAAACCGGUUAUUAGGUAAGAACAUCUGUGUAAUUAGCUGUGCACAGCGUGACGGUAACGAAUCAGAAAGCAACGGCUAACUACGUG
rnacentral:rRNA from 1 species